CCACAUUUUCCUUGUCCAGUCUAUCAUAUAUGGGCAUUCAAGUUGGUUCCAGGUCUUUGCUAUUGUAAACAGUGCCACAAUGAACAUACGUGUUCAUGUGUCUUUAUAAUAGAACGAUUUAUAAUCCUUAGGAUAUACCCAGUAAUGAGAUUGCUAAGUCCAAUGGAAUUUCUAUUUCUAGGUCUUUGAGGAAUCACCACACUGUCUUCCACAAUGGUUGACUAACUUACACUCCCAUCAACAGCGUUAAAAGUGUUCCUAUUUCUCCACAUCCUCUCCAGCAUCCGUUGUCUCCAGAUUUUUUAAUGAUCACAAUUCUAACUGGUUUGAGAUGGUAUCUCAAUAUGGUUUUGAUUUGCAUUUCUCUAAUGACCAGUGAUGAUGAGCAUUUUUUCAUAUGUUUGUUGGCCUCAUAUAUCUCUCUUCUUUUCGAAAAAUGUCUGUUCAUAUCCUUUGCCUACUUUUUGAUGGGUUUGUUUGUUUGUUUUCCAGUCCACUCUUAGUUGAGAAAAAUGUAAAACAUCAAAAAUACAAAAAAUCCAUCAGUCUAUAGCAAUUGCCCAUACUAAAUUGUUAUUCAUUUCAGGAGAGUGUACAGUUUCUUUCUGUAAGACUCUAUUAAGCCAGUUACUCUACAAUAGCAAACAUUUUAGGCAAACCUAACCAUUGCUUCCCGUGAAGAUAUUUAUAUCUUUAAGUAGUAUCUGAUUCAUCCCUAAGAAAUAUGUCAUCAAGAUGGUUGGUUGGUUGGUUGGUUGGUGGGUUGGUUGUUUGGUUCGUUGGUUGGUUGGUUGGUUUUUGAGAUGGAGUCUCGCUCUGUUGCCCAGGCUGGAGUGCAGCAAUACGAUCUCAGCUCACUGCAAUCUCCACCGCCCGGGUUCAAGUGAUUCUCUUGCCUCAGCCUCCUGAGUAGCUGGGAUUACCAGCACCCACUACCACAUCCUACUAACUUUUCAUACUUUUAGUAGAGACAGUGUUUCACCUUGUUGGCCAGGCUGUCCUCGAACUCCUGACCUCAGGUGAUCUACUUGCCUCAGCCUCCUAAAGUGCUAGGAUUACAAGUGGUAGCCACCGUGCCCAGGCAGAGAUUUUUGUUUUGACUGUUUUUUUCUGACCUAAAAUGGGAAUGAGAAAAGGGAGACACACUUAU
rnacentral:lncRNA from 1 species